GGCCAGGUGGCGGAAUGGUAACGCGCGUGAGACGAAUACACAGACUCCCAAUGUCUCCGUUCGAUUCAGGGUCUGGCCU